rnacentral:tRNA from 1 species
GUUUUAGUAGUUUACUUAAAACACUGGUCUUGUAAACCAGAAAAAAGAUCAUUUCUUCUAAAACU